rnacentral:lncRNA from 1 species
GCUGUAAUUGUGUGAAUGGUCCUUUGACCUGAGAUGGUACUACUGCUCGCAGUGAGGCUGCUAGAGUUUGAUUGACACAAAUAUGAAUUUCAAUGAGCCCUUGUAGUAGAUGUUGACGACAGUUGGUCCACUGUAGUAGGAUGCGCAUCAAGAUGAGAUCUAUCGACCUUGAUAGAGAGUAGUCCUAUGGGAUUUGAGAGGCUAAGUCCGAGAAUCUGUGGCCACAGCAGUGUAAUUGAUGGAAAAGAAUUUCCAUAAAAAUCAUAAUUGGACUUGAGCUGAUCGAAUCUAUCAUAUGAUUGAUAUUGAGGUUUGACGAUUUAUCCAUGACCUACCAUCUAGUCAGGACUCACGAUAGAGGGACUGAAUCACACGCUAACUACACUUAGAGAUUCAUUUCAGUUGUACUGGAUUGCCACUACAUACUGCUAGAUGUCACUGAUAGAUUGUGAGAGCUCACUAGAGUUGUUCUGGAUCGACAAUCCUUGAUGAGUUAGAGUGAAAUUAUUCCGACCCAUUGAAAAGUGUUUCAAUGAUACUUUGAUAUCAUUGUAUAUCUCACUACCAGAUAGAAUUGAACCUAUGGAAUCACACAACAAAGGGAUUAGACCUGAAAUUAGCAAUUGAACUUAUGAAGUGUCAAUUCGGUUUAGAGAAAUUCGAUUGGGUUCAAGAUAACCUUGCUAGCACAUGGUUGGAUCUAAUUUUCUCUUUAGGUUUGGAUUUCUUAUUUGAUAAGAUAAUUCAAACCUAAUUACCUGCUAAUAACCUAAAUGAAUGAGAUUCAUUAAACUCCAAUUGUUGGGUGUCUAAAAUUUGGAUCAAUUGAAUUAAGGAUACAAGUCCUUAAUUAAUUUUCUUGAUAGUUAUUUUUAGGCGCUACCUUGAUUUGAUCAAGUUAGGCGUGUCCCAUGAUUAGAGGGCAUGUGGACCCUUUAUGAGGCGUCCCUUGGGUGCAAAAGAAGGUGUGAAUUAAUGGAUGCAAGGGCUCCAAGAGUUGGCACCUAAAAGGAUUUCUAAAAAAAAUUGAAUAACUUAAGUUAUUAGGAAACCUAAUACAAGUAAGACUUGUAUUAUGAGAUUAAAUUGGAUUCAAUCCUUAUGACUAUUUAAAAGGACCUCUCCUAAGGUCUCUAGGCAACUAAACCAGCAAGCCCCACGCCCCUUUAGAAGCUCCCACGCCCUCUCUUCCUCUCUCCCUCUCGUCUCCCUUGGGCAUCCCACACGCCCCACCUUUGGGCGUCCCAAAUCCACAUGCCCAUAAGGGCUUUGGCGUCUCCCUUUGAGUGCUGGUUCCUGAUAUUUGAUAGUAGCAUAUACAAAGAAAGAAAGGCAAGAGAAGAAGAGAAGAAGAGAAGAAGAAGAUCAAGAAAAGAGAUCAAAGAGUUGAUCACGAUCCAGGCUUCGUUCAGAUUCGUAGGCUGAAUUUUCUUAGAGAAAAAAUUUUAAAAGAGUUAUUCCAGGCUGAUCCCGAGUGAAUACUCGUAAAAGCCGGACACCUAUGCGGCUAAGAAAGAACCUCUUUUCUUCCAGAUCCAAAUUUGAAAAAAAGAAUUGCGAAACAGGUAUGUGAUUUGAUCACAAGUUAAAUUUCAAUAUAUGUACAAUUUCAGCAUACGAAGUAGAUCCUUGUGGUUUAUGUUUUUAUGCAUGCAUGAUAUAAAUUAAAAGUAUUUUAAUCUAUUAUUCCGCUGCAGUAUUUAGAAAAUAAAAUUUUUGAAACACAUAUGCAUGCCCUACAUACGAAUUCCAACAGUGAUAUCAGAGCUACAGGUUUCAUAUGCAUGAAAUUGUCAUACAUGUUUUGAAAAGAGUUUCAAAACCUGAUUUUUCUUGAUACAUGAGAUGUAUAGAUGAGUUUUUAAAUCUGAAAUUUAAUUUUGGAUUUAAUUUUACAACAUAUAGUUGAUAUGAAAAAGCAUACAUAGAUCUUAAUUUUGAUCUAGAACGAUUUCUAG